rnacentral:rRNA from 1 species
AACGAACGCUGGCGGCAGGCUUAACACAUGCAAGUCGAGCGAGACCUUCGGGUCUAGCGGCGGACGGGUGAGUAACGCGUGGGAACGUGCCCUUCUCUACGGAAUAGCCCCGGGAAACUGGGAGUAAUACCAUAUACGCCCUUUGGGGGAAAGAUUUAUCGGAGAAGGAUCGGCCCGCGUUGGAUUAGGUAGUUGGUGGGGUAAUGGCCCACCAAGCCGACGAUCCAUAGCUGGUUUGAGAGGAUGAUCAGCCACACUGGGACUGAGACGCGGCCCAGACUCCUACGGGAGGCAGCAGUGGGGAAUCUUAGACAAUGGGGGCAAACCCCUGAUUCUAGCCAUGCCCGCGUGAAGUG